rnacentral:lncRNA from 10 species
GACAAGGGUGUUUGCUUUCCAUGGACCAAAUUGACAUCACAGAGGGCCAUCAGACCAGAACCAUCUUCAGAGGACCCUGCUCAAGAGGAUGCCGGCAGGGACGAGGAGACCCCAGGGAAUUGCCUCUCUCCCACUGUGUGAUGUCAUUGUGGGAUGGUCAAUACACAUGCCUAUCCUCUCUCCAGAUGCAGAUGCUAAGAGGACUCCAUUCUGAUGACUGUCUAUAUCAAGGCCUCCUACCCUCAGGGAAUUGGGUGAGCUGUUCCUGUUGAUGAAGCUAUGGGGCUCUCCUAUGGGAGAUACCAGUAUUUGCAUAUGGGACUUGGUGCCUAGAUUGGAGCUGGCUUUGGGGCUAAGCUCCAGAUAUGGUUGCCAGAAUAUGACCUUGAGGAAAUGGAGUAUUAUAUACAAAUGUGAAUGAAAACCAAAAGGCAGAAGAAUACACACAGUAUGCUACGUUUCACACAAAAUUAAACACCAUUCCAUAAUUUGACAAUAUAUUUACCUUAUUGAAUAUGUAGACAAGUUACAGUGAAAAGUAAAGGAAUUACAAUUACAAAA